rnacentral:rRNA from 1 species
GACGAACGCUGGCGGCGUGCUUAACACAUGCAAGUCGAACGAUGAAACCUAGCUUGCUAGGUCGAUUAGUGGCGAACGGGUGAGUAACACGUGACUAACCUGCCCCUUUCUCUGGGAUAACGCUCCGAAAGGAGAGCUAAUACCGGAUACUCACACCGAUGCACAUGCCUUGGUGUGGAAAGCUUUUCGGAAAGGGAUGGAGUCGCGGCCUAUCAGCUUGUUGGUGAGGUAACGGCUCACCAAGGCGACGACGGGUAGCCGGCCUGAGAGGGCGACCGGCCACACUGGGACUGAGACACGGCCCAGACUCCUACGGGAGGCAGCAGUGGGGAAUAUUGCACAAUGGGCGCAAGCCUGAUGCAGCGACGCCGCGUGAGGGAUGAAGGUCUUCGGAUUGUAAACCUCUUUCAGUAGGGACGAAGCGAAAGUGACGGUACCUAAAGAAGAAGCACCGGCUAACUACGUGCCAGCCGCCGCGGUAA